rnacentral:lncRNA from 1 species
UCUACUUGAUGUUGAUGAGGGACUCCGAACCCUUCCGGGGGCGCCGGCUGCUGACAAAAUGGGCCACAAAUUGGUUGCUCAUUUGAUUGAAGGAGAAGAUGGUACCCGGUUUCAAAGCCGAAUACCAGUUCCUCGCUGCUCCCUUCAAAGUAGACAGGAAAGCCCGGCAUAAGAUGGCGUCAGGAGCACCGUGAAGCAGCAUCAUCGUCCGGAAGGCCUCCAGAUGAUCAACCAGGUCUGAAGUCCCGUCGUAGCUUUCGAACUGGGGAAGCUUGAAGUUUGGCGGGAUCGGUUCCUGCAUAAUCGUUUGGG